rnacentral:rRNA from 1 species
CUUUGUUUUCUUCCGAAAACAAGCUCAAUGAGAGCCAUCGGGGGUAGAUCUAUCUCAUGACGAGUGGUGGAAUACUUUGACUCAUGAGAGAGAAGCUGAGGCGAAGGCGUCUACCUAGAGGGUUUCUGUCGAUCAAGGGCGAGAGUAGGAGUAUCCAACAGGAUUAGAGACCCUGGUAGUUCCUACCUUAAACGAUGCCGACAGGAGUUUGUCAUUUGUUAAUGGCAGAAUCUUUGGAGAAAUCAUAGUUCUUGGGCUCUGGGGGAACUACGACCGCAAGGCUGAAACUUGAAGGAAUUGACGGAAGGGCACACCAGGGGUGGAGCCUGUGGCUUAAUUUGAAUCAACACGGGGAAACUUACCAGGACCAGAUGUUUUUUAUGACUGACAGGCUUCGGGUCUUUCAGGAUAUUGUUUUUGGUGGUGCAUGGCCGUUGGUGGUGCGUGGGUUGACCUGUCUAGCGUUGAUUCAGCUAACGAGCGAGAUUAUCGCCAAUUAUUUACUUUGCCGAAGUCCUUCGGUUAAAGUUCUAAUUGGGACUCCCUGCGAUUUUAGCAGGUGGAAGAGGGUAGCAAUAACAGGUCCGUGAUGCCCUUUAGAUGCUCUGGGCUGCACGCGUGCUACAAUGUUAGGAUCAAUAGGACUGCGAGCCUGAGAGGGUGCGCUACUCUUAUAAUCCCUAACGUAGUUGGGAUUGACGUUUGUAAUCAGCGUCAUGAACCAGGAAUCCCUUGUAAAUGUGUGUCAACAACGCACGUUGAAUACGUCCCUGCCCUUUGUACACACCGCCCGUCGCUCCUACCGAUUGGAUGACUCGGUGAAAUCACCGGAUGCUUACGAGCAGAAAGUGAUUAAAUCACGUUAUCUAGAGGAAGGAGAAGUCGUAACAAGGUAACGGUAGGUGAACCUGCCGUUGGAUC